rnacentral:ncRNA from 1 species
ACAAUGUAUUGUAACAAUAAAGAACUCAGUGUAGAACAGCUAGUCCCUGUGCUGAGAGCAUGUGUAUAACGAGUGAAGAUGUAAUGGGAUACUUUUACAUAGGCGCUUCCAAAAUAUCGUGAGGUAUAUUAGGAAAGAUGGAAACCAUCGAAGUCACGCAUGUGUGCAAAAAUAUAUUGCCAGUAAAAUGUCGUGUUCAUCCAGCCAUCAUAAUAGACCGCUCUGUUGGUAGAGAAGAAUCGUGAUGCCUAUAAAGGUGGAAUUUUAUAGGAGUUAAGUAGCGAAGUUCUAAAUAAGAUGGUAGUGUCGUUGAAUCACAGAAAUGUGAGUAUAAUGGAUGUUUAAUGGUCGAGUAGGGCAAAUCGACAUAAAUUUGAUUGGAUAAAAACAAUUCUUAUUAUGAUUAAAGAAUGAUUCUAAUAGGAUAUUAAACUGAAUGACUUAGCCUGAAAGUUGCACAAAACCAAUUGUGUCUAUCCUCGGUAUCUUUUGUAAGAUAUUGGUGAAGAAAGUUAUAGGGUCGCUCCUUAUAGCUCAGACUUCAUUAGAUAGUGACAGAAUAUUACGACAUUAUAUUUUCGUAGGGUGAAGAUCCCUUUAUUGUUACAAUAGAUU